rnacentral:rRNA from 1 species
CCUACGGGAGGCAGCAGUGAGGAAUAUUGGUCAAUGGACGGAAGUCUGAACCAGCCAUGCCGCGUGCAGGAAGACGGCUCUAUGAGUUGUAAACUGCUUUUGUACAAGGGUAAACCUGAAUACGUGUAUUCUGCUGAAAGUACUGUACGAAUAAGGAUCGGCUAACUCCGUGCCAGCAGCCGCGGUAAUACGGAGGAUCCAAGCGUUAUCCGGAUUUAUUGGGUUUAAAGGGUGCGUAGGCGGAUUGAUAAGUUAGAGGUGAAAUGUCCGGGCUUAACUCGGGAAGUGCAGCUAAUACUGUUGAUCUAGAGAGUAGAUGCGGUAGGCGGAAUGUAUGGUGUAGCGGUGAAAUGCUUAGAGAUCAUACAGAACACCGAUUGCGAAGGCAGCUUACCAAUCUAUAUCUGACGUUGAGGCACGAAAGCGUGGGGAGCAAACAGGAUUAGAUACCCGUGUAGUC